rnacentral:rRNA from 1 species
UUCCGGUUGAUCCUGCCGGACCUGACUGCUAUCGGAUUGAUACUAAGCCAUGCGAGUUUUUGUAGCAAUACAAGGCAUACGGCUCAGUAACACGUAGUCAAUCUAACCUAUGGACGAGGAUAACCUCGGGAAACUGAGAAUAAUACUCGAUAGAUCAUUAUGCCUGGAACGGUUUAUGGUUAAAAUGAAUUUCGCCAUAGGAUGGGACUGCGGUCUAUCAGCUUGUUGGUGAUGUAAUGGACCACCAAGGCUAUAACAGAUACGGGCUCUGAGAGGAGAAGCCCGGAGAUGGGUACUGAGACACGGACCCAGGCCCUAUGGGGCGCAGCAGGCGAGAAACCUUUGCAAUGUGCGCAAGCACGACAAGGUUAAUCCGAGUGUUUCCUGCUAAAGGAAUCUUUUGCUAGUCCUAAAAACACUAAUGAAUAAGGGGUGGGCAAGUUCUGGUGUCAGCCGCCGCGGUAAAACCAGCACCUCAAGUUGUCAGGAGGAUUAUUGGGCCUAAAGCAUCCGUAGCCUGCUCUGUAAGUUUCCGGUUAAAUCCAUUAGCUCAACUAAUGGGCUACCGGAAAAACUGCAAAGCUAGGAAGUGGGAGAGGUAGACGGUACUCAGUAGGAAGGGGUAAAAUCCUUUGAUCUAUUGAAGACCACCUGUGGCGAAGGCGGUCUACCAGAACACGUUCGACGGUGAGGGAUGAAAGCUGGGGGAGCAAACCGGAUUAGAUACCCGGGUAGUCCCAGCUGUAAACGAUGCAGACUCGGUGAUGCGCUGGCUUGUGGCCAGUGCAGUGCCGCAGGGA